UACGUAGGGUGCAAGCGUUGUCCGGAAUUAUUGGGCGUAAAGAGCUUGUAGGCGGUUUGUCGCGUCUGCUGUGAAAUUUCGGGGCUCAACCCCGAACUUGCAGUGGGUACGGGCAGACUAGAGUCCGGUAGGGGAGCGUGGAAUUCCUGGUGUAGCGGUGAAAUGCGUAGAUAUUGGGAAGAACACCGGUGGCGAAGGCGACUCACUGGCUCAUAUCUGACGCUCAGGCGCGACAGCGUGGGGAUCAAACAGG
rnacentral:rRNA from 1 species